rnacentral:tRNA from 1 species
GGGGCUGUGGCUCAUUGGUAGAGUGCUCACCUUGCAUGCGUGAGGCACUGGGUUUGAUCCUCAGCACCACA